rnacentral:rRNA from 1 species
GAUUCUGGCUCAGGAUGAACGCUAGCGGCAGGCUUAAUACAUGCAAGUCGAGGGGCAGCGGGAUGUAGCAAUACAUUGCCGGCGACCGGCGGAUGGGUGCGUAACGCGUAUGCAACCUACCUUAUACAGGGGAAUAACCUUUCGAAAGGGAGACUAACACCCCAUAGUAUUGAUUUAAGGCAUCUUAGAUUAAUUAAAUAUUUAUAGGUAUAAGAUGGGCAUGCGUAUGAUUAGCUAGUUGGUAAGGUGACGGCUUACCAAGGCGACGAUCAUUAGGGGUUCUGAGAGGAAGGUCCCCCACACUGGUACUGAGACACGGACCAGACUCCUACGGGAGGCAGCAGUGAGGAAUAUUGGUCAAUGGGCGCAAGCCUGAACCAGCCAUGCCGCGUGCAAGGAAGACGGCCUUAUGGGUUGUAAACUGCUUUUACAUAAGACUAACCGUAUAUUUGCGAAUAUACCUGAAUGUAUUAUGAGAAUAAGGAUCGGCUAACUCCGUGCCAGCCGCCGC